rnacentral:lncRNA from 1 species
GGGUGGUGGUCGUGGUGGACGUGGCCGGGGGCAGGGCCAUGGUCGCGGUCAACCUUCACAGUCUUCCUCUCGUGGCGGCCGCGGUGGCGGCGGCGGUAGAGCAAGAGGCCGUGGAUCAUCUGGUUCUACUGCAACUUAUAACCCCCUUCCUCCUCAGAUGGCUCCGGCUCAGCAACCUCCUCAGAUGGCUCCGGCUCAGCCACCUCCUCAAAUGGCUGUAGCUCCGCCAGUUCCUCCAUCGGUGGCCCCUUUUUCUCAUCCUCCUUCAAGUUCUGGUGUAGGAUCACUUUCCAGAGAGGUAUCGGAGAAGCUUACAAUGGAGCCGGUGGCUGUGACUACGGCGGCUCCUGU